rnacentral:rRNA from 1 species
CCUACGGGCGGCAGCAGUGAGGAAUAUUGGUCAAUGGACGAGAGUCUGAACCAGCCAAGUAGCGUGAAGGAUGACUGCCCUAUGGGUUGUAAACUUCUUUUAUAUGGGAAUAAAAUGUUCCACGUGUGGGAUUUUGUAUGUACCAUAUGAAUAAGGAUCGGCUAACUCCGUGCCAGCAGCCGCGGUACUACGGAGGAUCCGAGCGUUAUCCGGAUUUAUUGGGUUUAAAGGGAGCGUAGGUGGAUUGUUAAGUCAGUUGUGAAAGUUUGCGGCUCACCCGUAAAAUUGCAGUUGAAACUGGCAGUCUUGAGUACAGUAGAGGUGGGCGGAAUUCGUGGUGUAGCGGUGAAAUGCUUAGAUAUCACGAAGAACUCCGAUUGCGAAGGCAGUUCACUGGACUGCAACUGACACUGAGGCUCGAAAGUGUGGGUAUCAAACAGGAUUAGAUACCCUAGUAGUC